rnacentral:rRNA from 1 species
UACGUAGGAGGCAAGCGUUGUCCGGAGUUACUGGGCGUAAAGGGCGCGCAGGCGGCCUUAGAAGUCAGAUGUGAAAGCCCCGGGCUCAACCUGGGAAUGGCAUUUGAUACUCUGAGGCUGGAGUACGGGAGAGGAGAGUGGAAUUCCCAGUGUAGAGGUGAAAUUCGUAGAUAUUGGGAAGAACACCGGUGGCGAAGGCGGCUCUCUGGACCGUAACUGACGCUGAGGCGCGAAAGCGUGGGGAGCAAACAGG